rnacentral:rRNA from 1 species
UACGUAGGCAGCAAGCGUUGUUCGGAGUUACUGGGCGUAAAGGGUGCGUAGGUGGCUCUAUAAGUAUGGUGUGAAAAUCUCCCGGCUUAACUGGGAGGGUGCGCCGUAGACUGUGGGGCUAGAGUGUGGGAGAGGGUGAGUGGAAUUUCCGGUGUAGCGGUGAAAUGACGUAGAUAUCGGAAGGAACACCUGUGGCGAAAGCGGACUCACUGGACCAUUACUGACGCUG